rnacentral:rRNA from 1 species
CUAUGUUACGACUUAUCUUACCUUAAUAGCAAGAGCGACGGGCGAUGUGUGCAUAUUUUAGAGCUAAAAUCAAAUUUUUAAUCUUUAAAAUUUUACUAUCAAAUCCAUCUUCAUUAAAUAUAUUUCAUGUUUAAAUUCGCUUAAAUAAAUUUAUUGUAACCCAUUUCUACUUAAAUAUAAGCUACACCUUGAUCUGAUAUAAAUUUUAAUUAAAAUUAUAGAAAAUUAUUAUUCUAAUAAAAUAUUCUAAUAACGACGGUAUAUAAACUGAUAACAAACUCAAGUGAGGUACAUCGUGGACUAUCAAUUACAGAACAGGUUCCUCUGAAUAGACUAAAAUACCGCCAAAUUUUUUAAGUUUCAAGAUCAUACCUAAUACUACCUAAGUGUUUUAAUUUACAUUUUAAAUAAUAGGGUAUCUAAUCCUAGUUUA